rnacentral:ncRNA from 1 species
CAAAGAUUUGGUCCUAGUCUUACUGUUACUUAUUGCUAAACUUACACAUGCAAGUAUCAGCGCCCCAGUGAAAAUGCCCAAAAACUACAACUAAGAACAAGGAGCAGGUAUCAGGCCCACCAUAGUAGCCCAAAACACCUAGCAACGCCACCCCCCCAAGGGAGUUCAGCAGUGAUAAAAAUUAAGACAUAAGCAAAAGCUUGACUUAUUUAUAGCAAAUCAGGGCUGGUUAAUCCUUGUGCCAGCCACCGCGGUUACACAAGAAGCCCAAAAUAACACUCAAACGGUAUAAAAUGUGGUUAAAAAAAAUAAAAAAAUUAAGGUAGACCUCUAAUUCUUCUGUUAUAAGUUUUAAUUAUACCUCAUUCCAUUAUGAAAAUAACCUUAAUACAACCAAUCAAUUUGAACCCACGAUAGCUAAGGUACAAACUGGGAUUAGAUACCCCACUAUGCUUAGCCUUAAACCUAGAUUUUUUUAUAUAUAAAAAUUUACCAGAGAACUACAAACUAAACGUUUAAAAUUCAAAGGACUUGGCGGUACCUCAAACCCACCUAGAGGAGCCUGUUCUAUAAUCGAUAACCCACGAUUAACCUCACCACCCCUUGCCCUCAGCCUAUAUACCUCCGUCUACAGCUCACUCUACAAAGAGAUAAAAGUAAGCCAAACAAUCUACAUAAUUAAUAAGUCAGGUCAAGGUGUAGCCAAUGGGGUGGAAGAAAUGGGCUACAUUUUCUAAAUUAGAAAUAACUAACGGAAAGAACCUUGAAAUAUGGGUCUAAAAAUAGGAUUUAGCAGUAAUGUGUGAACAGAGAGCCCACAUUAACCCGGACCUGAGAUGCGCACACACCGCCCGUCACCCUCAUCAAAAAACAGAACCAAUUUAUAAACCACAACUAAAACACACAAGAUGAGGCAAGUCGUAACAUGGUAAGUAUACCGGAAGGUGUACUUGGAGUAU